UUGGACAGGUUAAACUGUCAUCGAAGGUAACAGUCACUUUUUUAUCAAAAUACAAAUUCGCCAUGUUUCCAAAGUUUUAAAUAACAUUUAUAAUUUAAACUACAUCCAAAGUCAUCAUGUACAACCUUUAUAAAGCCCAUUCAAGCAUCAGGAGGGCUACAAAUCUUGGGCAAAGGUAUACUACCCAGCCUGGGUGGGGUGGCAACCAGAACCGACCGAAUCAACCUCCCAAUCCGGCACAACAACCCAACCCGUUUCAUCCCAACCCUUACGGGAGACAAGACCAGGCUGGCCGCCAAUCCCUGGACUCUAACCCAAGCAAUCCGCAGAGACAGACCCAGCGCAGUCAGCAAAACCCGGGCCAGAGAAGCAACCCACAGCGUCGUGGCUACUAAAAUAAGAACUAAAUAUUACAACAUUGAAUCAGUCUACCAAACAGUAAGCAUGAGCGAAUAAAAAGUGUAACUUUAUAA